rnacentral:rRNA from 1 species
CGUAGGUGCGAGCGUUAAUCGGAAGUUAUUGGGCGUAAGGGCGCGUAGGCGGUGCGGUAAGCCUUUUGUGAAAUCUCCGGGCUCAACUCGGAGUCUGCAAGAGAAACUGCCGUGCUGGAGUAUGGGAGAGGUGAGUGGGAUUCCCGGUGUAGCGGUGAAAUGCGUAGAUAUCGGGAGGAACACCUGUGGCGAAAGCGGCUCACUGGACCAUUACUGACGCUGAGGCGCGAAAGCUAGGGGAGCAAACAGGAUUAGAUACCCCUGGUAGUCCUAGCCCUAAACGAUGAUUGCUUGGUGUGGCAGGUACCCAAUCCUGCUGUGCCGAAGCUAACGCGAUAAGCAAUCCGCCUGGGGAGUACGGUCGCAAGGCUG